UAGGGGGCAAGCGUUGUCCGGAUUGACUGGGCGUAAAGGGAGCGUAGGCGGUUUGGUAAGUCAAAUGUGAAAGCCCGUAGCUUAACUACGGAACUGCAUUUGAUACUGCUAGACUUGAGUUCAGGAGAGGUAAGUAGAAUUCCUAGUGUAGCGGUGGAAUGCGUAGAUAUUAGGAGGAAUACCAGUGGCGAAGGCGGCUUGCUGGAAUGACACUGACGCUGAGGCUCGAAAGCGUGGGGAGCAAA
rnacentral:rRNA from 1 species